rnacentral:lncRNA from 11 species
AUGGUUACUCAAAAGAUCACCAACAAACAUUGCAGUGAUCUUCCAUAUUAUCUAGAUUUUGUAACCCUGAGACAGAGACCCUGUAGAAACUGGUUUGGUCUGUCUGGAAAUCCAACCUGCGAAGAGGCCAAUGGUAGGCUCAAUGCACUAAGGAAAUUUGAAAUGAUCCCAAAUUGCACAAAUAUUCUAUGUUGCUUAUAUGUUCUACAUCCCCACCUUCUGGUUUAAUAUUGUGUCAAACUGGCCAAGGGGAAUCUGUCAGCCAGACAAGCUAUCCGUCAUUUUUAUUCAGUAGCUGACUUUGUUUUAUGCAGUACCUGAGUUUAUGUAUGCAUUUAAAUGAAAUAUUUGCAUAGAAUAGUUACUAUAUGCUGCUCCAGCAUAGGUAUUCAUUAGAAGAUUUUAGUAUCUUGGAGCUUGAAUAUGAAGUAUAGGUUAUCCUUCCCAAAGAGUAUAUUUCCCUGUUUGAUUCCCUAUUGUUCUUAUGAUUAGUGUUUGUGCAUUCAGGGUAUGUUUUUGUACUUCCAUUAUAAUUAAUUUCACUCUGUUAAAGCAAUUUCCAGUUUUAGCCUGUGGUCCUG